ensembl:lncRNA
UACCAAAUACUGCCAAACAAUCAAGUUUGUUCUGAUGUGAAUUGUUAAGCAGGCAAAUCACAAAACAGUCUUAAUUGUCUACUGUAUAUUUUAAUGUGUAGGCUGCCACAGUUACACUUAUUCAUGUUCCACAUUUUAUAGUUAUGAAGUGGCUGCAUGUUUAGCUACUGUGUUGAUAGUCAUCAUAGGGAAAUCUUCAUUCAGCAUCUCAGUCAAACAAGUCCACAAGUCUUGGUUUUCUCUUAAAAAUAAAAUGUAUUGUUUAAAUUAAAAAAAUCAACUCACUAGAUGUCUAAUCAUCCACCUUUUUUGGCAAAAUGUCUACAGGACAGAUUUAACUUCAAAGAUUUAUUCCUAGAGGUUUUUUGUUUGCAGGGUAGUUCUAAUAAUAUGUGUACAGAAUUAUGGAAACCAGGCUUUUGCUGACUAAGCCAUACUAUUGUCCAGUCUCAGGAUCAACACCUGGCAUUAUUGAGACAGGAAGGUAGUAACGUAACGGUAGUGAUUCCUAUCGGUGUAGAUUAACCAUCCGAUGCCAAACUGUUCUUCAGAAGCGAACCGUUUUAUCGAGAGGGAGUCUUAUGAGCAUGCCGCUGAUUGGCGUGUGCGGGCACGAUAGAUGUGUGCUGUCUGGUUCUUGUGACCAUGUCAUCUGAAAUGAGGUCACUUUGAGUUUCCGUUUGCCUGGUUAGCUGCUCCACAGCUGUUUGUAUUUCCAUCUGUUUCUUUUAUUACUUUAUCCACCGUCUCCUGGCGUACUCUGAUGUUCCCCAAGUUACUAACAAAUCAUAAAUGGGAUGUUCAGAGGUCCAUCGGUACUGUUUUUGGGAGGAUAAAAUCUAAAAUCCGGCUUCUGAGCUUUUGGUAAUCGAUCCUUUAAGUUUUAAAAGACUCGUAAAAAGAUUACUGUAGAUUAAAUCCGUUGAAAUGAAUCACUGGUUAAAAAGCAGUACCUUUUAUUAGUUGAAAGUGGCGUGCUAGUGUUGAUGAUUUGAAUGUCUCUGCACGUUUCCCUCACAUCAACUUGCUCAGCUGUUGCUUUGAUUAGCAGGUUUUUGUAAGUCAGUGAAAGGGGUCAUCGACUCUCAUCUGAUCGUAUGGUACUUAAAUAAUGCUUUAAAUAUCACAAGAAAUGACGACACAUGACGAGUACAGGUAAAAUUUGGUGGGUGAAUCCCCUGUAAUCCAUUUAUCUUUAUGAAGACAGCUGAGUUGAAGGUCAAAGUCUCAAGUAAAACGCGCUGCAAAUAUGGAAUGCACAUCAAUUAUCUAUGCAAGGUCUUUAAAAAAAAACCUUUAUUGGUGCAAAAUAGUUGUCAUUUUCCUCCAGAAUGUUAUUAAACUUACAACAAUAAGGCUGUGUAGACGAAUGUCUAAUGAAAUAUGACAUUCAGCAGGAUUUUGAGAAGAGUUGCAUGUAAUUGGAUGAUCCUAUGAGAUGUUUACAAAUUUUGGGAGGUUUUUUGUUUGUUUUUUUGAUGUAACAUACUGAUUACCAUGAAGGAGUCAAAGAAGGCAAUUGGCAAAACUUUGGGAGAUGGCUCUCUAUUAAACAUUCAUAAGCAGUAGUUAACAGGCUAUAAUGUAGUUGUAAACUAAAAGUUGUCAUCAAUGUGAUGUAUUCUCAAAUUGUGACAGGCAAUAGAAUAAAAAUAUUUAAAAACAUUAGAAAUGUUCUUACGUGUCCUUACAACUACAGUAUAGUGUGGUUUUGUUGGUUACUUGUACACUGCUGUACACACUAAAAUGCUAAAUAGUGGGAUUUAAAUAAGCGUUCCUGAAUAGUUUCACGUAACAGUUUAUUUAAACUACAUUGAUUAUGCUUUUGUUUGGAGGCAGAACAUUUAGCACAGCAGUCGGGGUGUACAUAAAAGACUUAAUAUGAUGUAUAGUUUGUCCCUUGAUUGUGUUUUAACUAACAUUAGCUAGCUAGAUUCACUUCUCACGCACAUACAAACAUGUAUAGUAAAUCAGGAAAAAAAUGUAAUGAGACUUGGUAUUGAUAUUGCACACUCUCCACUGAAUGUCACUGACUAUAGUCUGAUUUUAGUUACAAACCUUUGGUGAGGUAAACCUUCAACUUUCUACCCGUUUUCAUUGUGUAUUGGUCAAUAGAGUAUUUUUUUAUAAUGGUUUUCUUUUUUUGAUAUUUUUCUCAAUUUUUAUAAGUGAUUUUCCUAAAAAAAAAUCAGAUACCAGGAAUGAUUGGUACUUCCAUUUUGACUGUGUACCAGGGCCAUAUCAGCGCAGCGUCUCUGAAAAGCGGGGCAGAUGUGGGACAGAUUAACUGUCACAGAUCAGCUCCUCUUUUCUGAGCUCUGCACUGAUCUCUCCUUUCUUUCUAGGACCGAGACCAAACUUAAAAUGUUGAUACUGUUUUAGUCGUUGCUUAUUUAUGAUUGCCUGUAGAUAGUGUUGUGUUAUUUUAUGUUCUCUAGUCUGUUUAUCUAAUUUACUGUGUUACAUUGAUGUGGAAUGUAAAAUGUUGUGAUGUAGAACAUAAUAGUUGGACAGGAGGCUCAAUAAACCGUGCUUAAGUUUAUGACUUUUAAA